rnacentral:lncRNA from 1 species
GUAAAUUACCUCAAAGUCAGAUUAUCCCACUAUCCAAAAUUGACGGAAAAAAGUAGAAAAAUCAACAACUGCUACUGUAAAUUGUGGAGGGCCUGAAUGACUUAACAUUCUUGAGAAUAUUAACUUAACAUCCUCGUUUACAAAACAGUGACAAUAUUGGGAGUGUCAGAGACUGAUAAUUCAAGGUUCAUAUUAGGAAAAAGAAAAAAAAUGGUUCUAUAGUC